CUAAUCUUCCUUUCACUCUCUAAUUUUGCAUAUUGUUUUGCGGGUUCUGAGGAGGUUAUAGGGGGAAAUGGAUACUGGUUUUGAUAUUCAUGUAAAUUAUAAUGCAGUAAUAUGUGGUGUCUUUGUAGAAAAAGAGAUAGCCAGUUUGCACCUCAACGUCCUUCGACAAGGUUGACUUGGGUUCAACAAACAAAACAACUUCUGUCAUGAAAGCAGUAGAAACAGGUCUGGGCGUGACCUGAUUGGGGUGGGAUAAAUAGAUGAACUGAACUGAACAGCGAACACCAAUCCAUCAAAGAUGAAGACUGCAGUGGCUCUGCUGACUUCAUGCCACCUCUACCUGGGUGUGGCUCAGGUCUUCAGGUCUCCAGCCUCAUCCGAGCUUCUCCCUGUGGCCAGAAACGAAGACUUCUGGAGGCCAAAAUAAAAAAUGCAGAAAAACAGUUAGCGGAGCUGAAGCAAGCGACCACCGGUAUCUUCACUGCUCCAGUCAAAGGAGCUUAUUACUUCAGCUUCUCUGGUCAUAAUUUAUCAUCUAGACCAAUGGGGCUGCGACUAAUGAAGAACGGAGAACAAAUGGUCACUGUGUUCGGCAUGACUCUCAAUCUUAAUGUGGGAGACCAGGUGUACAUGAGACUCCAGGCAAACACCUGGAUUUAUGACAAUGUUUUUGAACAGUGGAGGUGUGUUGCACUGAAGAGUAACUUCAACCAGACUUUGGCUGCAAAGAGAAAAGCUUGGUGGGAAGAGCUGAUGCAGACAAACAGAAACAAUCCAAGGAUGAAGACCUCACUGGCUGUGUUGGGUUUAUCCCUCUUCCACCUGUGUGUGGCUGAGCUCCUGCCACAGCAACAAGACGGAGACAUGAACAGCAUGGAGAGUCCCGGCAUCGAACAAGCUGGUCCCAUAGCCGGUGACGUAACAGAGAGCCCACGAUACAGUAGCCAUCUUGAUGUCAGCAUAAGAGAGGCGGAACAGCAAAACACCGAGAGACAGCUCGAGGAGCUGAGGAGAGAGGACCAAGGCAACCGGGAGGCAUUUGGCGAAUCCUUCGACAAUGUUGGAAACACUGGACCCUACAACACUGAGAUCACACUGCCCCACAGGAGCGACGGCGAUAACACAGGCGCAUACAGCCCAUCAGCAGGUAUCUUCACUGCUCCGGUCAAAGGAGUUUACCACUUCAGCUUCUCUGGUCAGACUGUAUCAACUAAACCGAUGGGCCUGCGACUAAUGAAGACUAUCAACCAUCCGGAUGGACGCCGCUUUGAGACGGCAAACAAUGUCAUGACCCUACCUCUCAAUGAGGGAGACCAGGUGUACAUGAGACUCCGGCGAAGAAUCCAUUUCAGAAUCAGAAUCAGAAUCAGAAUCAGAAUCAGCAUCCACUUACAUGUGCAUAUUUCACAUUGAACAUAUGGAGUUGUGGAUGAAUACAAUGUACAGUGUUUACCUUCACUUAAUUUUUGUUUUGUGUAAAACUGCAGUUAUGUAUUUUGGGAUUAGUAGGUGCAGUGGAUGUUCAGUGUUGCAGUUUAUUGCACAGAGAUUGUUCUGCCACCGAUCGACUGUUUGAACUGUUCUCAAGAGCGACGGCAUGUGGAAAGAAGCUGUUCUUGUAUCUGGCUGUUUUGGCAUUCAGUGAUUUGUAGCACCUGAAAGAAGGGAGUGGUUAGAAAAGGUUGUCUCCAGGGUGUGAUGGGUCUGCAGUGAUUAAGUUAAGAGUUAAUAGGAAUCCUCAUCAUUAUUGUGUGAAUUGAAAAUUGUAUAUAACAAUUGAUAUUAUGUUUGCCUUUAUAAGACAUUUUUUAUGAAUAAAGCUAUGUAAUUUGCUUUAACUUUUCAUUAUAACUGCAAAUCAGAUAAAAAACGUUUCAUUUUUAUUGAACUUUUUGAGUCUCAACAUAUAUAUAUAUAUAUAUAUAUAUAUAUAUAUAUAUAUAUAUAUAUAUAUAUAUAUAUAUAUAUAUAUUGCCAUUUGGAAAUUACAGUAAAUCUCAUUAAUUCAUUCAAGUCAAAUUCUUUGUUGUUUUUUUGUCACAGUGCGGUUUUGUCACUGUGCUCCUGAAAUGUUCCUUAACUGGUCCUGCCAGCCCCCUGGUAAUAUUUCUGGGAAAAGUCCGAGUGAGCCCAAGUGUGAAAACAGUGGGUAAAUCUUCAGAUAAAUUAACAGCGAACGAGUGGCCGUGUUGAUGACAUUACUUUCCAAAAGCAAAUUUAUUGUAAUGUCCUGCCUCUGCACGCUCUACCCAGAGGCCAGAGAAUGUUCCAGAAACGUUCCUGCUUUUGUGAACACGUCUGACUCUGACAAUCUCCUGCUGUGUCCUUCAUAUGUGAAAUGCAACGUCCUGUCUUAAAACAGCUUUAGUGUGAGCGUCACAUGAUUCUUCCGCAUAUGAAAAGGUAAAACAUUUUUCUUGUCAUAUAGAAAGCACAAUGAGCUAUGAACUACAUGUUGUUUUUGGAUUCGUAGCUUAGAUAACUAUAUGCACUGACACCAUCUACUCGUGAUUGAAAUAAAGUGUCCGUUAAUAGACUCACUGUCUUCACAUUGGACUCAAAGUGAAAGCAGGGCCUUAGGGUUAAAUUUGCAAUGUGUGUGGUUAAGAGGGACACGGGAGGCAGAAGCUCAUUGGCCAGUCUUAGUAUGGCCGACUGAACUUGGCCACAGACACAAAAAUAUAAAAAAAAAGUCCUCUCUGUUCUCUACUGUCGGCUCGAAAAACAUGUGUCCACACAACUGGACGGAGAAGUGUCUUAUUCAGCCAAGUCACGAUGACUGUGACCACUUACUAUAUAAUACUUACUAUAUGAAACAUUCACAUUUAAAACCUGUAAAUAAGAUUCAAAUAUCUAUUACCACGAUAUCUAAAUCCCAUAGGUUGUGGUGUUAGGACCUGCAAGUUAAUAUUCUCAUUGUUUUGGUUUUUUUUAAUUCAUUGAUUUGUGUAUACAGUGUCCAAAAGCAUUGAGAAAUAUGCAUUCCAAUUUCCCAGAGCCCUUGGCGAUGUUUUGAAAUGAGCUGUUUUUGUGGGACCGACUGUUUCAAACCCAAAGAUUUUCAAUUUGUAUUGAUAUAUAUAAAACAGAGGAAAGCAGCAAAUCCUCACAUCAGCAAAGCUGGAACUAGAGGAUAUGGAAAGCUUACAGGUCAAAUUAUCACAUAUUUUGGCUGCAUCAUCAUAAAUAUUAAUCAUAUAAUAAACCUAUGUAAUCAAAUGUGCAUGUAAUUAAGGGAGAUUUUUUAAGUUUUAAACUAUUUGUGUGACUGACUGGACAUAUCUGAUAUUAUUCUAAACCUCUUGUCCCGCUCCAUAGUUACCUGAACAGCCUGCUCCCCCCAACAUAAAAAACAACAUCAUUGUAAGUGAUUAUAAUAGAUAAAGUUGAAUUGCAAAAGAAAGGUAUUUUUCUAAAACUGGUCACAUUUUCACUAUAGGUAGCUUGUAAUGUGGCCAACACCUACACAACGUUUGGCCUUGGAUUUCGAGUUGUAACUGACACAUCAUUAUUAUCUAAAGUUAAAUGUACGAACUGUUCAAUUACCAGCAGAGUCAAUGACAGCACGCGGUGUUACGUAAAAUGCUUUUUUUUGUAUUACAAGUCUUUCAAACUGACAGGUUGAUGGCAGAGGAUUUGUCCAAAGGGAGAAUUACAAUUACAGUAAAGUCAA
ensembl:lncRNA